rnacentral:rRNA from 1 species
AACGAACGCUGGCGGCAGGCUUAACACAUGCCAGUCGAGCGCAUCCUUCGGGGUGAGCGGCAGACGGGUGAGUAACGCGUGGGAAUCUACCUUUUGCUACGGAAUAGCUCCGGGAAACUUGAAUUAAUACCGUAUGUGCCCUUAGGGGGAAAGAUUUAUCGGCAAGAGAUGAGCCCGCGUUGGAUUAGCUAGUUGGUGGGGUAAAGGCCUACCAAGGCGACGAUCCAUAGCUGGUCUGAGAGGAUGAUCAGCCACAUUGGGACUGAGACACGGCCCAAACUAGUACGGGAGGCAGCAGUGGGGAAUAUUGGAAAAUGGGCGCAAGCCUGAUAAAGCCAUGACGCGUGAGUGAUGAAGGCCUUAGGGUUGUAAAGCUCUUUCAACGGAGAAGAUAAUGACGGUAUCCGGAGAAGAAGCCCCGGCUAACUUCGUG